rnacentral:rRNA from 1 species
CGCGUAGGCGGCUUUGUAAGCGGGCGGUGAAAGUCCGGGGCUCAACCCCGGAUCGGCCGUGCGGACUGCAAAGCUCGAGCACUGUAGAGGCCGGUGGAAUUCCGGGUGUAGCGGUGGAAUGCGUAGAGAUCCGGAGGAACACCAGUGGCGAAGGCGGCCGGCUGGGCAGUGGCUGACGCUGAGGCGCGACAGCGUGGGGAGCAAACAGGAUUAGAUACCCUGGUAGUCCACGCCGUAAACGAUGGGCACUAGGUGCUUCGGGGAGCGACCCUCGGAGUGCCGGCGCUAACGCAUUAAGUGCCCCGCCUGGGGAGUACGGCCGCAAGGCUGAA